rfam:Actinobacteria bacterium 66_15 MPI_scaffold_550, whole genome shotgun sequence.
GUAAACGGCGGCCGUAACUAUAACGGUCCUAAGGUAGCGAAAUUCCUUGUCGGGUAAGUUCCGACCUGCACGAAUGGCGUAACGAUUUGGGCGCUGUCUCAACCGUAGACUCGGCGAAAUUGCAUUAUUCGUGAAGAUGCGAAUUCCCCGCGGAAGGACGGAAAGACCCCGUGAACCUUUACUACAGCUUGACAUUGAUAUUUGGUUUGUCGUGUAGAGUAUAGGUGGGAGGCUUUGAAGCCUGGGCGCCAGCCUAGGUGGAGCCACCGUUGGAAUACCACCCUCGACAGGCUGGAUGUCUAACCCUGCACCGUGAUCCGGGCAGGGGACCGUGUCAGGUGGGUAGUUUGACUGGGGCGGUCGCCUCCUAAAAUGUAACGGAGGCGCGCGUAAGGUUCCCUCAGAUCGGUUGGCAAUCGAUCGUAGAGUGCAAGCGCACAAGGGAGCUUGACUGCGAGACCUACAAGUCGAGCAGAGACGAAAGUCGGCGCUAGUGAUCCGGCGGCUCAGAGUGGAAUGGCCGUCGCUCAACGGAUAAAAGGUACUCCGGGGAUAACAGGCUGAUCCUGCCCAAGAGUCCACAUCGACGGCAGGGUUUGGCACCUCGAUGUCGGCUCAUCGCAUCCUGGGGCUGUAGUAGGUCCCAAGGGUAUGGCUGUUCGCCAUUUAAAGCGGUACGCGAGCUGGGUUUAGAACGUCGUGAGACAGUUCGGUCCCUAUCCUCCGUGGGCGUAAGAGACUUGAGAGAGGCUGUCCCUAGUACGAGAGGACCGGGAUGGACGAACCUCUGGUGCACCAGUUGUCGACCAACGGCACUGCUGGGUAGCUACGUUCGGUCGGGAUAACCGCUGAAAGCAUCUAAGCGGGAAGCCCAUCUCAAGAUGAGGUCUCUCACUGGGUUAACCAGGUAAGGCCCCUCGUAGACUACGAGGUUGAUAGGCCGCAGGUAUAAGCGCAGCAAUGCGUUCAGCCGAGCGGUACUAAUAGGCCGAGGUCUUGAUCUU